AAGUUGUGUGUAACUAUCAAACCUCCCAAAUGGCAGAAGGGAGACUCUCACACCUGUCCCCAAGCCACAACAUUGCCACCAGAACCUCAGCUGGCUCUUUCCCUUCCUGGACAAGAGGAUAAUGAGAAGAAGGUGGACAAAGAACCUGCAGCUGUUUCCUCAGGAGGAUCAAUCCACACGAGCUCUCUGCUGGGAGCUGAAGAUGCAGAUGAUGAGACACUUCUCCUGUCUGACACCCUCAGCAGAAGCUCAGGUGCUCUGGACAAACCCAGGGUCCGGCCGCAGAAGAAAUUCUGUGUGAUAGAGGAAGUGCUGGAACAGCUGAGUACGUGUGCUGUGCCUCUUGUCUGGCCUCAGCUGCACCAAAGGGACACAGGAAGCAGAAUUCUCUCUGGGCAUCCCUUAGGGCAGCUCAGACUGGGUUCAGUUUCCCUGUGCUUCCAUCUGUGCUGAAAGCAAAGGCAGGGAUGGUUUCUGAUUCAGCAGAAGGUGCUGUGACCUAGUGAAUGAACUACUGAACUCCUGAGUGCUGAUGGCCUAAUCAAGCAGGAUAUUUGGGUUCCUAAAUUCUCUUUUGUCCCCUGACAAGUCAUUGGAGCAAAAGUACUUCACAGCAACCUAUUAGACUGAAGAUGAGCAGUGUGGUCCUUCAAAUGGCACAGGCAAGGUUAUCACCAGAACUUAGCCUGGUAACCCAUGAUGAGGGUAGUGGAUCCUAAAGACCCAUCAUUAUUGAUUAUAACAUAAGAUGCUGUUCUUUAAAAUCAUAAAGACAAUCCAUUGGUGAACUGCUGAAAGUUGGGAAGGUCCCCUUCUCUCCUGAAAACACUUUGCACAGUUUCUUAAAAAUGAAUCCCAGAACCCAAGGUGCAUUAAAUCUUUAGAAAUAUUAAACCUUUUGUUGAAUCACACAAAGGGUUUAUUCCCAGGAAAAUAAAGGCUGUGUUGUUUUAGCUCUCCUAAAUAUU
ensembl:lncRNA